GUUUCACCAUAUUAGCCAGGAUGGUCUCGUACUUCUGACCUCAGGUGAUCCACCUGCUUUAGCCUCCCAAAGUGCUGGGAUUACAGGUGUGAGCCACCACGCCCAGCCCUAGCCAACUUUUGUUUUUUUGAGACAGAGUUUCAUUCUUAUUGCCCAGGCUGGAGUGCGAUGGCCCAAUCUUGGCUCACUGCAACCUCUGCCUCCCAGGUUUGUAGGAUAUAAUAAAUUCCUCUUCAAAGGUUUUAGCCUGUAAAUUGUUAAGUACAAUGGUUCUGAGAUCCUCUCCAAAGAGUCAAUGUAUCAGUAUGUUCAGCUCUUCAUUUUAAAGUUUAACUUCCUCGUUUUCUUCAUCUCCUUGCCCCUAGUUUCAGUAAACAACCCCCUCCUAGCCUCUAUCACCUGCUCCAUCCUGAGUCACCCCCAGUCACCUGCUCUAAUCUGAGUCAUCCUGAGUCAACAGGGUUUCACCAUGUUGGCCAAGUUGGUCUCGAACUCCUGACCUCAUGUGAUCCGCCCACCUCAGCCUCCCAAAGUGCUGGGAUUACAGGUGUAAGCCAUCGUGCCUAGCCAGUUUUCACUUUAAAAUGAUCUCUAAUACCAACUCUUGGGGUCCGAAUGGGUCCCCACUGGUUUCAAAUGUUAAGCAUGCACAGAUUAUGUGGAUGAGAACUUGCCAGGCGGGCUUACCGAAGGAGACGUGGUAAGAAUCGCCUACAUUUGCCAGGCCCUCAGGACAGGCCCUCUCCACACCGAGGCUUAUUUCCUUGGGUUGCAGAAGAGGAAACGCCAGGGAGCCCAGUAUUCUUUGGUUCAUUCGCUUCUUUUUUAUGGUGUAACCUACAUACUGUAAACUACGCCCAGCUUAAGUAGCUCAUACCCUGAUGAAUUUUUAUGUACGUAUGUAUCCCCAGGAUGUAUCCGACACUCAGGUCAAGAUACAGAAUGUGCUCAGCACCUCAGCAGGUGCCCUUGUGUUCCCUUCCAGUCAAGCCCCCACUUGCCACCACAGAAUGGAACAAUCUUUUUUUUUUUUUUUAGAGACAGGGUCUUGCUCUGUCUCCAAAGCUGGAGUGCAGCUCCAUCAUGCUUCACUGCAGCCUCCGCCUCCCGGGUUUGAGCGAUCCUCCCAUUUCAGUGUAACCACCAUUCUUAUCUCUAUCACCAUAGAUUAGCUCUGCAUGUCUUUGAACUUCAUAUAAAUGGAAUCAUGCAUAGAUAGGCUCUUUUGUGUCUGGAUUCUCUCUGUUAACACUGUGUCUGUGAGACUCACUCACGCUGUGUGUAGUAUUAUGCUUCAUCCUUUUUUGUUGUCGCAUAGUAUUCCACUGUAUAAAUAUACCACAAUUUAUUUGUCUGUUUUCCAAUUGCUGUGCAUUUGGAUUGUUUUGUUUUUCACUAUUUUGAAUAAAGCUGCUAUGAACAUCCUUGUAUAUGUCUUGGGUAUACAGAUGGUCCCGGCUUACAAUGAUUGGAUUUAAAAUUGUUUGACUUUACGAUGGGCUUAUCAGGGUAUUAAAUGUGUUUCUGACUUACAGUAUUUUUGACUUACCACGUGUUUAUUGGGACGUAAACCCUUCCUAAGAUGAAGAACAUCUGUAUACAUCCAGAAUCCUGUGGAGCAACUCAUAACCCAUGAGGAAUGGGAGCCGACAGACAGACUCAUCCCCAGGACAGGUGGUUCUCACUACAUCUCAGAAAGCUUCUUAGAAGAUCUUACAGGAUCGUGCAACCAGCCAGCCACAGCAGGGGCCGACUGGAUAACAUGUCUUUGCACAGGCUCUCCCUCUGUCCCUGUCACCCUCCCCUUUUCCUAACCUUGUUCCUUGGGAUUAUGUUUUGAAAUAAGUUAUUCAGAGAAAUGAAGCUAAAGCUGACCCAUUAGCCAAUAGCUAGGUUCUGUGAUGACAGGGCUUCUGGGCUAUAAUCGUUUACUGAGAAGCCAGCGUUCCCGAGGGGAUAAUGGCUCGUUCCAUUCAGCUGCAGCAUAGGAGUGAGGGCAGGGCAUUAGCAGAAGAUAACACCAGAAACGUGCUCUGGGGCCUGUUUAUGACUUUCUAUGCCAAGCGUAGAUAUUUAGCCUUUAUUCUGUAGGUGAUGGGAAGCCAGUGCCAGUGGUGGGUUUGAGCAGGGAACCAGCAACCAGUGGUGGGUUUGAGCAGGGAACCAGCAAUACUCAAGCUCUGCUAGGAUGGAGGCCAGUCAGGGAGGAGUUAGGGCAGGAGGACCGGUCAGGGAGGAGACUCAGGGCAGGAGGACAGGUCAGGGAGGAGACUUAGGGCAGGAGGACCAGUCAGGGAGGAGUUAGGGCAGGAGGACGGGUCAGGGAGGAGUUAGGGCAGGAGGACCGGUCAGGGAGGAGUUAGGGCUAGAGGAUCGGUCAGGGAGGAGUUAGAGCAGGGGGACUGGUCAGGGAGGAGUUAGGGCAGGAAAAUCGGUCAGGGAGAAGUCAGGGCAGGAGGACUGGUCAGAGAGGAGUUAGGGUAGGAGGCCAGUCAGGGAGGAGUUAAGGGUAGGAGGACCGGUCAGGGAGGAGACUCAGGGCAGGAAGACGGGUCAGGGAGGAGACUUGGGCAGGAGGACCAGUCAGGGAGGAGUUAGGGCAGGAGGACCGGUCAGGGAGGAGUUAGGGCAGGAGGACUGGUCAGGGAGGAGACUUAGGGCAGGAGGACCAGUCAGGGAGGAGUUAGGGCAGGAGGACAGGUCAGGA
rnacentral:lncRNA from 1 species